UUGCACUAGGACGCAAAAGAGAAAAUUCCCUGUACUUUCUUUGUGACGGCCCAGAUUGAAGAAGGAAAUACAUAU
rnacentral:snoRNA from 1 species